rnacentral:rRNA from 1 species
CAAUAGCGUAUAUUAAAGUUGUUGCAGUUAAAAAGCUCGUAGUUGGAUUUCGGAGCCGACCGGGCGGUCUGUCGAGAGACACGCACUGCUCGGUGGCUCUUCCUCUCGGAGGCCCUGGCUGCCCUUAACUGGGGCGGGCAGGGGAUUCGGGACGUUUACUUUGAAAAAAUUAGAGUGUUCAAAGCAGGCCGGUGCUUGGAUACAUUAGCAUGGAAUAAUGGAAUAGGGCUUGGGUCCUAUUUUGUUGGUUUUCGGGACCGAGGUCAUGGUUAAGAGGGACAGUUGGGGGCAUUCGUAUUCAAUUGUCAGAGGUGAAAUUCUUGGAUUUAUGGAAGACGAACAACUGCGAAAGCAUUUGCCAAGGAUGUUUUCAUUAA